rnacentral:lncRNA from 1 species
GCAAUACCUUGAAGAUGUGGGACUCCUAGGAAGAUGCAACACCUGGAUCUGGGCGCAGUUCUGGAAGGAGGAGUUGCUGGUCCAUAACACAAUGACAGACAGCUCAGUGAUAAACUCGGAAGAAACCUGUAUCUUCUAUGGAAGCAUGGUGCUGCCUGUGCUUUGCAGAACUUAAGAAUAACAGAGAAUUGAUAGAUUAACUAUUUCAGUGCAGCAAUAUGAGUGAUAACGAAAUGGCACUGACCCCGUCUCCUGAAUUAGAAGGACCAUUCUUAGGAGAAGAAGCAGUCAUUU